rnacentral:lncRNA from 1 species
AAAAACCCUUUUUCAUAUAUCUACAGGGAACCGCUAAAUCUGAGUAAAUUGCUAAAAACUACCACAUUUCGUGCAACCGUGUCUAGUAGCUAUCACUUUACGAUUUUGUACGAAAAACUAUCAAAUUUUUUCUAAUCUGUAGCAAAAAACUACCAAACUUCUUAACUGCCCUAUUUAGCUCUUUUAACCGUUUUUCUGGCAAUGUUGGCCCAUAUGUCAUGUGCCAGCAUGGCCCCGCGCAUUUCAUCGAACAACUUCAGCGCGAGGGCGCGCUCCCCAACGCGCGCACCUUCACUGUCGUCGUCUCCCACCUCGCCGGUGCGGGGUUCGUGGACCAGGCGCUCAAGGUGUUCCGGCUCCACCACCUCCAUAGUGGCCCGGCGCCGCCCGGACGGCACGCGCCGACAACUGCCUUGAGGGCCGUGAAGGCGGCCUCGUAGGCGGCCGGGAUGGGGUGCUCCGUGGCGAGACGGUAGUCGACCGAGACGGUAGCGCCAGGUGGUGCAUGGGUUUUUGAGUUGUUACUAUACAACUACCUCACCGUAUGCUUUGACCGCUCGUUGUUGG